AGAGUUUGAUCCUGGCUCAGAACGAACGCUGGCGGCGUGCUUAUUACAUGCAAGUCGUGCGUGAAAGAGGGGCAACCCUCGAGUAAAGCGGCAAACGGGUGAGUAACACGUAAGCAAUCUACCUUCAAGCUUGGGAUAACCCUGCCAACGCGGGGCUAAUACCGGAUGUGGUCUUACGAUCGCAUGGUUGUAAGAUCAAAGGUGACCUCUACAAGUAAGUUACCGCUUGAAGAUGAGCUUGCGUCCAUUAGCUAGUUGGCGGGGUAACGGCCCACCAAGACUGUGAUGGGUAGCCGGCCUGAGAGGGUGAACGGCCACAUUGGGACUGAGAUACGGCCCAGACUCCUUCGGGAGGCAGCAGUAGGGAAUUUUGCGCAAUGGACGAAAGUCUGACGCAGCAACGCCGCGUGAGUGAUGAAGGUCUUCGGAUUGUAAAGCUCUGUUGAAUGGGAAGAAAAGUUUUGGAGAUAACACCUCCGGAGCUUGACGGUACCGUUCGAGGAAGCCCCGGCUAACUACGUGCCAGCAGCCGCGGUAAUACGUAGGGGGCGAGCGUUGUUCGGAAUUACUGGGCGUAAAGGGAGCGUAGGCGGAACCGUAAGUUAGAAGUUUAAUUCCCGGGCUUAACCCGGGGCGGGCUUUUAAUACUGCGGUUCUUGAGUAUGGAAGAGGGAGAUGGAAUUCCAGGUGUAGCGGUGGAAUGCGUAGAUAUCUGGAAGAACACCAGCAGCGAAGGCGGUCUCCUGGUCCAAUACUGACGCUGAGGCUCGAAAGUUAGGGGAGCAAACAGGAUUAGAUACCCUGGUAGUCCUAACCGUAAACUAUGGAUACUAUGUUGGGGGAGUCAAUCUUCUCAGCGUCGUCGCUAACGCAUUAAGUAUCCCGCCUGGGAAGUACGCCCGCAAGGGUGAAACUCAAAGGAAUUGACGGGGGCCCGCACAAGCGGUGGAGCAUGUGCUUUAAUUCGAUGCAACGCGAAGAACCUUACCUGGGUUUGACAUGGGAGUGACAGUUUCCGGAGACGGGAGCUUUUCCGCAAGGAACACUCUACACAGGUGCUGCAUGGUUGUCGUCAGCUCGUGUCGUGAGAUGUUAGGUUAAGUCCUGCAACGAGCGCAACCCUCGCCCUUAGUUGCCAUCAGGUCAAGCUGGGAACUCUAAGGGGACUGCCUAGUUUAACUAGGAGGAAGGUGGGGAUGACGUCAAAUCAUCAUGGCCCUUACGUCCAGGGCAAGACACGUGCUACAAUGGCCGGUACAAUGGGAUGCUAGACUGCGAAGUUACGCUAAUCCCACAAAACCGGUCUCAGUUCGGAUUGGAGUCUGCAAUUCGACUCCAUGAAGCUGGAAUCGCUAGUAAUCGUGGAUCAGCAUGCCACGGUGAAUACGUUCCCGGGCCUUGUACACACCGCCCGUCAAGCCAUGAAAGAUGGCAGUACCCAACGUCGCUUCUCUAACUCGCAAGAGGAGAGUGCGCCUAAGGUAAGGCCAUUGAUUGG
rnacentral:rRNA from 1 species